UUGUGUAAGAUGAUGAUAUAUGCAAUGAUUUUCAAUGUUUUUUCUUUCUCCACCAUGUUUUGAUCUGUAGCUUUAUUUUACAAAUUGCAGAUUUUGUUGAUGGAAAUGUGGAUUUGGGGAUAUGCAGCUGGAAGGGUUGGUUCUAUCCAGAAAGUUGCAGAUAGGCUUCGUUGUUACACUUGGUCAUGACUUCUUCAUCUCACUUCAAAAUUGCAAAAGGAGGUUUAUGCGGUGGUGGUUGUUGCAAGAAGGCCCUCGCGGUGAUAAUUUAUACGGUGGUGGUUGAUUAUACUGAUGUGAAUGUGUCUUAGAUAUCCC